CGUCCCUGACUUCAACCGCAAGAAGGACUCCGCCCGGGCCCCUACGGGAGCCGGGCUCCGUCCCUGACUCUAGCUGCAGGAAGAUUCCGCCCGGACUCCUACGGGAGCCGGGCUCUGUCCAUGACUUCAACUGCAAGAAGGACUCCGCCCGGACUCCUACAGGAGCCGGGCUCCGUCGCCAACUCCAACCGUUGGUAGAUUCUGCCUGGACUCCUACGGGAGCCGGGCUCCGUCGCCAACUCCAACCGCUGGUAGACUCCACCUGGACUCCUAGGGAGCCGGACUUCGCACCUGACUCCAGC
rnacentral:lncRNA from 1 species